GUUGAUUCCGCCACUGAAUAGCGGAGUAGGAGUUGCUUCAGAAAAGGAUGUCUGUAAGAUCAACUAAAUGGUAUCUGGGUUAUUUCUACAUGUUACUGAACUUGUCAAGGUGUGCAGAAACUCACAGGAUGAAAAAAUCAUUAACCAACAAACAAAGGAUUGUGUUGCAAAAACAUUGAAAAGGCUCGACGAAAAACUCCAUGGACAAUCUACAAGACGAACACUGAAGGUAAAGUUCGUAAUCAAAUGGCCAUAACUGAUGCAAUGGAAGCAGUGGCAGUAGCUUCACCUCCUCGAUCUCCUUCAAAUCCUUGCCAAACGCGUCACUUUUAUGUUGCUGUUGAUCGACUCCAUUUCAAAAUGGAGACGUUAGUUGAUUUAUUAGGAGUGGCCGGCCGCCGUGACGGAAUGCCGAUGGUGGUUUGUUGCAGCUCACGUGACGAGCUUGACGCUGUCUGCUCCGCUGUGUCUUAUCUCCCUUACAUUUCUUUUGCUCCUUUGUACAGUGAUCUAGCUGAAGCAGAACGGGCUUCAGUAUUGGAAAAAUUUAGGCAAGCAACUGUGAAGUGGAAUCAGAGUGCCACUGCUCUGUCAGGAAAUGAAGAUGAGAUUGGAAAAGAUAAGGACAAGUCUCAUAUGAUAGUUGUUACUGAUGCCUGCCUUCCGCUUCUUGCAACUGGGGAGUCGCCAAUCUCUGCUCGUGUUUUGAUUAAUUAUGAGUUGCCGAUGAAAAAGGAAAUAUAUGCCAGACGCAUGGCUACUUGUUUGGCAGCAGAUGGGAUUGUAAUCAAUAUGAUUGUUGGGGGAGAGGUAGCGAGUCUUAAAAGUGUUGAAGAGAGCAGCAGCCUUGUCAUUGCAGAAAUGCCUAUUAAUAUUUCUGAGAUUUUGUGAAGGCUAAUUAUGCUGGCUGCAAACCUGAGUUUGGGGGAAAAUAAAAAUUUUUUGAAUUUAGGUUGAAUUAGUUUUGAAAUGGCGAAAACUAGGGUUGCCACCAAUCAAUCUCUUAUGGAUCUUCCUCCUCGUUGAUCGGCUCAUUACCUUGCUCUUCUGAUGAGGAAUCAGAGCCGUUGGAAAACGCUUCAUCAUAGGAUAGCUGCUUAUUUGAGGGAUUUUCAAACCGCUCUGAGUCUUGAAGGGAUUUCCAAGCUGCUCGUUGGAAAACGAUUCAUCGUAGGAUAGCUGCUAAUUUUAGUACGAGAACAUUUAGAUCCGGCCUUCUUCGCUUUUUUUUUUGUUUCCCUGUUCUAGAAAAUUACAGAUAGAGAACCUUAUGCCGCCAUGAUGAACAAAUCGGAAUCGGGGAUCAGAUCCGCGGAGCAACAACAUUUUUUUGAUUUCUAUUUUAUGGCUUGAUUUUCUUGUUGGUUAAUCAAUGGUGUACUAAUGUUACACCAAUAAUUUUGUUUUUAAUACAUUUAAUGGUUAACUUCGGGUGAACUUUUGGUUGUCCUCCAAUGAUGCUUUUGAUUUUAUGAUGUAAUUUGUUUUCUUCACUUAUGUAUCUGUAAUGGUUGUUGGUUAACCAGUGAUUUACUAAUGGUACACCAAUAAUUUAGUACAAUGUUAGUAAACGUUGGAUUAA